GAAAUUGUAGCAAAAUAGUGAAAAAAAAAGAAAAUAGAAAAAAAAAGUUAAAAAAAUAGCAAAAAAAUUGCAAUAUUUUUUUUUUUGCAUAUUCGAACUGGGCUGGGCCCAGGCCAAAAAAACCUUACUCGAGGCUCGGCUCAUUUUCUAAAUGGACCUUUUUUUGCCCAUAUCCAUUUUUCGGGCCUAUAUUUUUACCCAAAC
rnacentral:lncRNA from 1 species